rnacentral:tRNA from 2 species
CGGAGCAUAGCACAGCUUGGCAGCGCACCUGCUUUGGGAGCAGGGGGUCGUCGGUUCAAAUCCGACUGCUCCGACCA